CAACACGGGGAAACUCACCAGGUCCAGACACAAUGAGGAUUGACAGAUUGAGAGCUCUUUCUUGAUUUUGUGGGUGGUGGUGCAUGGCCGUUCUUAGUUGGUGGAGUGAUUUGUCUGCUUAAUUGCGAUAACGAACGAGACCUUAACCUGCUAAAUAGCCCGUAUUGCUUUGGCAGUACGCUGGCUUCUUAGAGGGACUAUCGGCUCAAGCCGAUGGAAGUUUGAGGCAAUAACAGGUCUGUGAUGCCCUUAGAUGUUCUGGGCCGCACGCGCGCUACACUGACGGAGCCAGCGAGUACUCCCUUGGCCGGAAGGCCUGGGUAAUCUUGUUAAACUCCGUCGUGCUGGGGGUAGAGCAUUGCAAUUAUUGCUCUUCAACGAGGAAUCCCUAGUAAGCGCAAGUCAUCAGCUUGCGUUGAUUACGUCCCUGCCCUUUGUACACACCGCCCGUCGCUACUACCGAUUGAAUGGCUCAGUGAGGCGUCCGGACUGGCCCAGAG
rnacentral:rRNA from 1 species